AACGAACGCUGGCGGCGUGGAUUAGGCAUGCAAGUCGAACGGAGUUUCUAGCUUUUUCGGAAACUUAGUGGCGAAAGGGUGAGUAACACGUGGGUUACCUGCCCUAGGGAUUGGGAUAACCUGUCGAAAGACGGGCUAAUACCGAAUACGUCCUGCACUUUUCGAAGUGCAGGGGAAAGAUGGGGAUCCGUAAGGACCUAUCACCCUUGGAUGGGCCCGUGGCCUAUCAGCUAGUUGGUGAGGUAAUGGCUCACCAAGGCUAAGACGGGUAGCUGGUCUGAGAGGAUGGUCAGCCACACUGGGACUGAGACACUGCCCAGACUCCUACGGGAGCUG
rnacentral:rRNA from 1 species